CCUACGGGAGGCAGCAGUGAGGAAUAUUGGUCAAUGGACGCAAGGCUGAACCAGCCAUGCCGCGUGCAGGAAGACGGCUCCAUGAGUUGUAAACUGCUUUUGUACGAGGGUAAACGCAGGUACGCGUAUCUGACUGAAAGUAUCUUACGAAUAAGGAUCGGCUAACUCCGUGCCAGCAGCCGCGGUAAUACGGAGGAUUCAAGCGUUAUCCGGAUUUAUUGGGUUUAAAGGGUGCGUAGGCGGUCGGAUAAGUUAGCGGUGAAAUCCCGAGGCUCAACUUCGGAAUUGCCUUUGAAACUGGUCGGCUAGAGAGUAGGAGCGGUAGGCGGAAUGUAUGGUGUAGCGGUGAAAUGCUUAGAGAUCAUACAGAACACCGAUUGCGAAGGCAGCUUACCGGGC
rnacentral:rRNA from 1 species